UAAAAAGGCCUAAAAAUCCCAAGUAUGGUUUUAUUUGGAAAAGGGCAUCUAAAAUGUGGUGAGGAAGGGGGGUCCAUUGAUAUGGAAAUGGUAAAAAAGUACUGCCAUUAUAAAACCUCGGCUUCUCCCCCAUCAUAGCACUUGUUUUGAUCUCGUUCGCCCCUCUCCUCUCUCCAAAAAAGAAUAGUAGUGAACAUAUAUUUCUCAUGUCAUGUCAUGCACGAGCGCAGCGCGCUAGUGUCCGUAUCGUCUCGGCCAGCUCAGUAGGCCCUUUUCGGGAAUCCCAAACUGCCCCGGAUUUAUUCUCUCUCCUCCGCCUUCUUCCCUUGGCCCCCGCGUUCUCUCCACCAGAUUUCGCGGAGCGAAGCGCGCCUCCGAGACGACUCGGCUCACGGGUUCCCCGCGUGCCGCCUCCAUCGGAGAGUCUCUCUCUCUUCUGUCGGGAAGGGGUGGGUGGCCGGGGGAGGGAGAGAGAAG
rnacentral:lncRNA from 1 species